ensembl:lncRNA
GAAACCAAGUGGUAUUUUUCCCCUUUUCCGCAUGUGCAGUAAUACUGCUGCUGCCCAGCCAUGCCAAGCCGGCAGCUUCCAUGCAGAAAAUGCAUAAUGAGCCCGGUGUUCGUGGGCAGCUCUGCAUCAGCUUGGGGUUUCCAGCAGCACUUCUGAAAUAUGUGCAGCCUGUUCAUUCGGCGCCUACACAGUCCAGCAAGCAGCGAGGGCAAGGAGGAACAGGGGCCCGGAACAGCCGGUCGCCGCUGCGAAUAGAACAACUCAUCCAUCCUGCAGCCUGUCGCCGAGCCGAGCUAUCCCAGAGGUCGCGCAUCUCUGCCAUGGAGCGUGACGAGGAUAUUAAUCCUGCAGAUCAGUGCCAAAGAGAAAAUGCUUUGCAGGAAGUAACCUGUUCUCGUUCCUUUGGCUUGCGGAAUAGAUGUCGCAGCAGGCUCGUGCAGCUUCCGUGCUCUCUGGGGCCUUCAGAAACGGGAAGAACAGUGCGGAUCGCUUUUCUGAAAAGUCAGCGAAAUCUCAGGUUUCGGAUCUGAAUCUUGGGCUGUAAUUCCUGUGCGUACGCUAUAGAAAAUGGAUGCCUCUCUCAUUAUACCUGGAUAUUGCUGUCGCUUUUUCUUGAUGGGAUGAACGAAGACAUGACCUCGAAAGCUCCGUGUGAACUCAGUCCCGGUGCCUUAUAAUCUCCUCACCGAGUGCAUUUUCUGAAUUUGCAGGAAGAUCAGCGCACCUGCACGUUCUCCUGCCGGGCGCUGCGAGUAUCGGUGCCGGCGGCUGCCCUUGGGAGCAAGCCCCAACCCUUGGCGUCUCCGAUCAGAGCUGAGAGGGAGCAUCUGCUCCGGGCCCAUGCCAUUGCUGCCGGAGCGCGCAGAGCAGCCCGCCGGCAGCGCGGAUGCCUUGCUGGGCACUGUGGCCUCGGGCAGCUGCCUGUUGUGACCAGCGCUGCUGUCCUAAUGCUUCUAAUUCUGCCAGUGAAAUGGAGUGCGAGUAAUUGAAAUAACCAAUAGGUUAAAUCUGCCGAUGCUUUUUUUUAUUGCUGUGUCUGUCUCACCCGAGCCCUCCCCGCCCCGUUUCGUAAUGAACUUGCUUUGCCGCUAGCAAGAAAAUUGAACUCAUUUUGUUUACUUGUCUCUUUAACUACUUCUUAUUGGAUUUUCCUGUCCUCUUUCUCUGAUGCAGAGUUCUGCUGUAUUUAUGCCAUCCAAAUAAUUUGUUUGUAUGUAAUCUGAAAGCGUUUGGUUAAAAUGGUUUAUUUAGAUUCUCAGAUCCCACCCCCAACUUCUGUUUAAGAUACAGCAAUUCUUUUGAAUUAGUUGAUUUGGUUGGGUGGAUGAGUACUUUGAAAUUAAUCUUUGAAUGUGGAAAAGAUAUAAAACAUGCAUGCACAAGACUGAAAAUACUUCAGCUGAAAAUUUGUAUGUUGCUGAACACGAAUCCAAAUUUGAAUAUCUUAGUUGAGAAGAGUAAAUAGCCUUUUAUGUAGGCUCUUGUAAGACAUUUUUGCAUCGAAAUCUGAUGACUCUGGAGAGAAGCUUCUGAUCCUGUGUUCUGAAAGUGGCUUCUGUUUCAU